rnacentral:rRNA from 1 species
CAGCAGCCGCGGUAAUACGGAGGGUGCAAGCGUUAUCCGGAUUCACUGGGUUUAAAGGGUGCGUAGGCGGGUAGGUAAGUCAGUGGUGAAAUCUCCGAGCUUAACUCGGAAACUGCCAUUGAUACUAUCUAUCUUGAAUGUUCUGGAGGUGAGCGGAAUAUGUCAUGUAGCGGUGAAAUGCUUAGAUAUGACAUAGAACACCAAUUGCGUAGGCAGCUCACUACGGAAAUAUUGACGCUGAGGCACGAAAGCGUGAGGAUCAAACAGGAUUAGAUACCCUGGUAGUUCACGCCCUAAACGAUGGAUACUCGACAUACGCGAUACACAGUGUGUGUCUGAGCGAAAGCAUUAAGUAUCCCACCUGGGAAGUACGUUCGCAAGAAUGAAACUCAAAGGAAUUGACGG